rnacentral:lncRNA from 10 species
GGGGUGAAGAGACGGGUAAUUGUGACCGCAAACUGCUUUAGAGGGCUGGGUAAGGGGUGAAAUUUGAGGUCAUAUCCCGGGAGAGAGGAAGAAGGGUCGUGAGUCACCGAACCCGAAGGAGAGGAAAAGAUGUGGAGGCAGCGGUCUAUGGCCUCUUCCAGCUCCGGACGGGGGAUGGGGACGCUCUGGGCAAUACGGGCCUCAGUUAUUGUCCCACUGUCCUUUCAACCCUUAACCAACCCAGUUGGAGGCCGCCUGGAAGAAUGUAGCCUUGGAACUAGGGCCUGGAAUUGGGGCUCCUACCGGUUGUGUGGGCUUGGGCAAGUCACUUAACCUUCCCGCAUGCUCCCUUCACUUGGCAACUGAGGGUAACAAUAGUAGUUGAUGAGAAGAUUAAAUAAACUCUGAUAAAUGCCAACAGUGGCUGGCACUCAACAGGCAUUCAAUCAAGGCUGAUUCUUCCCCCAUCACCCACUCACCUCAUCCGGCUGGGAAACUAGGCCGUUGUGACAAGGAACAGUGGGCUGGCUCAAGUUUUAUGGAGCGUAACCAAAUAACAUCCUUUGAAGGCUGAUCAGCACCGGACCAGAAAUCAUUGCAUGAGCUCUAUCUGUCAGAGACCCCUGAAACCCAUUCCCCAUUCUGAAGGUGUAGACAUCACAGAGUGUGGACAGAAAUAGCUUCUCAGGCCUGAAUGUAGCCCCAGACCCUUUGUGUCUGUCUUUGAAAGAACUCACAGCCAUGGUACAUCAGAGUGAAGGAGAAGAAAGAAUCCUUUGCCAUUGCUCUAUUUUUCAUUCAGUUGUCAUGUUACCUUGAAAAAAAAAGGUUUCAUCUCAGUGUUUAUAUAUUCCUCUGUAUUCUCUUUCAUCUUGGAAAAGAAAAACCCAGGCUUCAGUAGCAAAGUCUCUUAGUGAUGAACCCCAUCGUCCUGACUCUGAGUUAAAACAGUUUGGACUUCCAAAAAAGAGCUUUAGAUUAUCACUAGAUAAGUAUAUAAGGUAAUGCAUAUGUUAACUAGCUUGGUGUAGCUAUCCCACAAUGUAUACAUGUAUCAAAACAUGGACCGGUACAGUGGCUCACGCCUGUAAUCCAACAUUUUGGGAAGCUGAGGCGGAGCCCAGGA